rnacentral:rRNA from 1 species
GGAGUCUGGGCCGUGUCUCAGUCCCAAUGUGGCCGUUCAUCCUCUCAGACCGGCUACUGAUCGUCGCUUUGGUGGGCCGUUACCCCGCCAACUGGCUAAUCAGACGCAGGCCCAUCUUUGGGCGAUAGCUUACAAGUAGAGGCCAUCUUUCAUGUAUCCCCCAUGCGGGAUUUACACUUCAUUCGGUAUUAGCAGGGCUUUCGUCCUGUUGUCCCCAUCCCAAAGGCAGGUUGCCUACGCGUUACUCACCCGUUUGCCACUAGGUCUCUCAAAAGCAAGCUUUCAAUCAACCCCGUUCGACUUGCAUGUGUUAAGCACGCCGCCAGCGUUCGUCCUCGAGCCACUGAUCAAACUACU